UACGGAGGGUGCAAGCGUUAUUCGGAAUUACUGGGCGUAAAGCGCGUGCAGGCGGGCCGGCAAGUCUGAUGUGAAAGCCCCGGGCUUAACCUGGGAAGUGCAUUGGAAACUGCUGGUCUUGAGUUCUGGAGAGGAAGGGGGAAUUCCCGGUGUAGAGGUGAAAUUCGUAGAGAUCGGGAGGAAUACCAGUGGCGAAGGCGCCCUUCUGGACAGUAACUGACGCUGAGACGCGAAAGCGUGGGGAGCAAACAGG
rnacentral:rRNA from 1 species